rnacentral:rRNA from 1 species
CCCCUUAGUAGGGCAUAGCCCGGCGAAAAGUCGGAUUAAUACCCUAUGUUAUUCGUAGAGGACAUCUGAAAUGAAUCAAAGAUUUAUCGCUAAGGGAUGGGGAUGCGUCUGAUUAGGUAGUAGGCGGGGUAACGGGCCCACCUAGCCGACGAUCAGUAGGGGUUCUGAGAGGAAGGUCCCCCACAUUGGAACUGAGACACGGUCCAAACUCCUACGGGAGGCAGCAGUGAGGAAUAUUGGUCAAUGGGCGCGAGCCUGAACCAGCCAAGUAGCGUGCAGGAUGACGGCCCUAGUGGGUUGUAAACUGCUUUUAUGCGGGGAUAAAGUGAGGGACGUGUCCCUUUUGUAGGUACCGCAUGAAUAAGGACCGGCUAAUUCCGUGCC